GACAGGUGGUGCAUGGUUGUCGUCAGCUCGUGUCGUGAGAUGUUGGGUUAAGUCCCGCAACGAGCGCAACCCUUAAGCUUAGUUGCCAUCAUUAAGUUGGGCACUCUAAGUUGACUGCCGGUGACAAACCGGAGGAAGGUGGGGAUGACGUCAAAUCAUCAUGCCCCUUAUGAUUUGGGCUACACACGUGCUACAAUGGACAAUACAAAGGGCAGCGAAACCGCGAGGUCAAGCAAAUCCCAUAAAGUUGUUCUCAGUUCGGAUUGUAGUCUGCAACUCGACUACAUGAAGCUGGAAUCGCUAGUAAUCGUAGAUCAGCAUGCUACGGUGAAUACGUUCCCGGGUCUUGUACACACCGCCCGUCACACCACGAGAGUUUGUAACACCCGAAGCC
rnacentral:rRNA from 1 species